rnacentral:rRNA from 1 species
AAAGCGAGUCUGAAUAGGGCGUUUAGUAUUUGGUCGUAGACCCGAAACCAGGUGAUCUACCCUUGGUCAGGUUGAAGUUCAGGUAACACUGAAUGGAGGACCGAACCGACUUACGUUGAAAAGUGAGCGGAUGAACUGAGGGUAGCGGAGAAAUUCCAAUCGAACCUGGAGAUAGCUGGUUCUCUCCGAAAUAGCUUUAGGGCUAGCCUCAAGUGAUGAUUAUUGGAGGUAGAGCACUGUUUGGACGAGGGGCCCCUCUCGGGUUACCGAAUUCAGACAAACUCCGAAUGCCAAUUAAUUUAACUUGGGAGUCAGAACAUGGGUGAUAAGGUCCGUGUUCGAAAGGGAAACAGCCCAGACCACCAGCUAAGGUCCCAAAAUAUAUGUUAAGUGGAAAAGGAUGUGGCGUUGCCCAGACAACUAGGAUGUUGGCUUAGAAGCAGCCAUCAUUUAAAGAGUGCGUAAUAGCUCACUAGUCGAGUGACACUGCGCCGAAAAUGUACCGGGGCUAAACAUAUUACCGAAGCUGUGGAUUGUCCUUUGGACAAUGGUAGGAGAGCGUUCUAAGGGCGUUGAAGCAUGAUCGUAAGGACAUGUGGAGCGCUUAGAAGUGAGAAUGCCGGUGUGAGUAGCGAAAGACGGGUGAGAAUCCCGUCCACCGAUUGACUAAGGUUUCCAGAGGAAGGCUCGUCCGCUCUGGGUUAGUCGGGUCCUAAGCUGAGGCCGACAGGCGUAGGCGAUGGAUAACAGGUUGAUAUUCCUGUACCACCUAUAAUCGUUUUAAUCGAUGGGGGGACGCAGUAGGAUAGGCGAAGCGUGCGAUUGGAUUGCACGUCUAAGCAGUAAGGCUGAGUAUUAGGCAAAUCCGGUACUCGUUAAGGCUGAGCUGUGAUGGGGAGAAGACAUUGUGUCUUCGAGUCGUUGAUUUCACACUGCCGAGAAAAGCCUCUAGAUAGAAAAUAGGUGCCCGUACCGCAAACCGACACAGGUAGUCAAGAUGAGAAUUCUAAGGUGAGCGAGCGAACUCUCGUUAAGGAACUCGGCAAAAUGACCCCGUAACUUCGGGAGAAGGGGUGCUCUUUAGGGUUAACGCCCAGAAGAGCCGCAGUGAAUAGGCCCAAGCGACUGUUUAUCAAAAACACAGGUCUCUGCUAAACCGUAAGGUGAUGUAUAGGGGCUGACGCCUGCCCGGUGCUGGAAGGUUAAGAGGAGUGGUUAGCUUCUGCGAAGCUACGAAUCGAAGCCCCAGUAAACGGCGGCCGUAACUAUAACGGUCCUAAGGUAGCGAAAUUCCUUGUCGGGUAAGUUCCGACCCGCACGAAAGGCGUAACGAUUUGGGCACUGUCUCAACGAGAGACUCGGUGAAAUCAUAGUACCUGUGAAGAUGCAGGUUACCCGCGACAGGACGGAAAGACCCCGUGGAGCUUUACUGUAGCCUGAUAUUGAAAUUCGGCACAGCUUGUACAGGAUAGGUAGGAGCCUUUGAAACGUGAGCGCUAGCUUACGUGGAGGCGCUGGUGGG